rfam:TPA: Bos taurus chromosome 4, whole genome shotgun sequence.
UCUCUGAGAGCUCAGUUGGUAAAGAAUCUGCCUGCAAUGCAGGAGACCCUGGUUCGAUUCCUGGGUUGGGAA